AUUGAGCGCUGGCGGCAUGCCUUACACAUGCAAGUCGAACGGCAGCGCGGACUUCGGUCUGGCGGCGAGUGGCGAACGGGUGAGUAAUACAUCGGAACGUACCCUGUUGUGGGGGAUAACUAGUCGAAAGAUUAGCUAAUACCGCAUACGACCUGAGGGUGAAAGUGGGGGACCGGAAACGGCCUCAUGCAGCAGGAGCGGCCGAUGUCUGAUUAGCUAGUUGGUGGGGUAAAGGCCCACCAAGGCGACGAUCAGUAGCUGGUCUGAGAGGACGAUCAGCCACACUGGGACUGAGACACGGCCCAGACUCCUACGGGAGGCAGCAGUGGGGAAUUUUGGACAAUGGGGGCAACCCUGAUCCAGCAAUGCCGCGUGUGUGAAGAAGGCCUUCGGGUUGUAAAGCACUUUUGUCCGGAAAGAAAUCGCGCUGGUUAAUACCUGGCGUGGAUGACGGUACCGGAAGAAUAAGCACCGGCUAACUACGUG
rnacentral:rRNA from 1 species